rnacentral:rRNA from 1 species
CAGUAGCCGCGGUAAUACGUAUGUCACAAGCGUUAUCCGGAUUUAUUGGGCGUAAAGCGCGUCUAGGUGGUUAUGUAGGUCUGAUGUGAAAAUGCAGGGCUCAACUCUGUAUUGCGUUGGAAACUGUGUAACUAGAGUACUGGAGAGGUAAGCGGAACUACAAGUGUAGAGGUGAAAUUCGUAGAUAUUUGUAGGAAUGCCGAUGGGGAAGCCAGCUUACUGGACAGAUACUGACGCUAAAGCGCGAAAGCGUGGGUAGCAAACAGGAUUAGAUACCCCUGUAGUCCCUGUCUCUUAUACA